AGGAGACACACCUGUGAGCAAUCUGAAUCAGCAGCACUACAAAUAACUGGUCCUCCUGCCACUUCAGUGCCAGAAUGUUCCUUCGCCACGGCGAUCUUCCAGCUUACCAGUUUUUCAACAGGCGUCUUGGAGCCGGCUUCCUGGAUAUUUCGGUUUUCUUCAGUUGUCUCCACAAUAAAUUGACUGAACUAUUCA